ensembl:lncRNA
UGAAUAUAUUCCGAAUAUAUUCCUGAUUCCUGAUUCCUGAUAUAUUCCGAAACGAGCCGCAGUUUGCCACUGGAACCAUGGUGGCGGCGGUCAUCCCCUUGUACUUCUUUGGAACGGCGCUGAGCGUCCUCGCAGUCCUCUACGGGAUUGUGGACUCCUUUGGGGGGCUGAUGUACGUCCAGGACUGUCCCCACGUCAUGGACUUUGACUGGCAGACGCAGUGGCAGCUCUCCCCGGGCCGCCAACGGAGAGCAUCUCCUCCGGCCAAGAACGUCGGCUCGUGAGGGGACGCGUCUCGUGUUUUAUUUUGCUGCUGGCUGGACCAUGUGGCCAACGGAUGGAUAUUCAGGACAUCUGACUCUCGUCUGCGCUGAACGGAUUGUUUGAACCAUGUCCACGGGUUCCAGAGAGCUCCCACGUCUGCGCGCGGUGCCUUCAAACGCGGCUCGCGGGCAAACUUGACGCCAGAAAUGUUGCAGCACUACUGAAUCAUUUGCACUAACAAUCGGAAUGUUUUGUCUUUUUCAAUAUUACCGGAUUAAAAUGAUUUGGUUUAAAGGUGUAACAGUGAGUAAAAAAACUGCACCCUCCACAAAUAUUUACUCCGGAUGUUAUACGGUUGUAAGUCGGGUUGAAAAGUAUGUAGUGAAAGACUGAAAGCAAUUUGGAACUAAAGGAAUCUCACGUUGUCGCUAUGAAUACUUAUCAGUCCUCACCCUCUAAGCACAGGAGACAAAACAAGCUCGGCCUCCGAUCUGCCGUGUAGGAAAGAAGAAGUUUAAUCAGUGAUCGUUCCCUUUUCUGGUUGCGCAACAGGAAAGGGAUUAUGUUCACGAGGAUCAUUGUCCCUGUGGUCCGUCAACAAAGGCGCGGGGAAUUCUCCCUGAUGUUUACCCGCUUUCAGGUUAGCGUUUUACUUCCUGUGUGGAUCAGUGUCAUUGGGUCCAGGUUUUAAUGGUCAAAGGUCAAUCUGAGUUCCCACAAUGGAUUUUUGGGCAAGUGUACAUAAGUGAUGACAAUUUCCUACAAUUGUUUUAUUGGAAAACAUUAAAAUGGUUGAGACAUGCAAACCGGUAAUUCUUCCGUCAUGACUUGAUGAGCGGUAAAAGUGAGAGUAUUCCUCGGUGAGAGCCGUUUAGCACAUGUUGAAACGAAUAUCCAGCACACGAUGUGGAAGCUGAACAAUGUGAAUCACGAUUAUCUGUCGCUGAGUCAGUCGGCCCUCAGCCGCGGGACUCCGCAGGCCGACAGCUCGUCAAAAUGAGUGCAAACCCACAUAAACAAACUGAACUACUGAACUCAAGGGUCCCAGGCACGUAAGAUAAGGAAAUACAAAAUGAUGAAAUUACACCUAAAAUAACACACCGUGCUCGUUACUAGAAAAAUGAAAUACCGUCUCAAGCAAAGGGACGUAGUCAUGGUCAGGGUGGAUUAAUAAAAGGUGGAUUAAUCAAUGCGGCUGCUGCUUCGGCUUUGAGCGGUGAAACAAAUCACCUCAUUAGACCGGAAUGGAGGAAACGGCACCCAAAUGAAAGCUCGUGGGAACCUUAGAUUUCCCAAUAUAAGUGACGUAAAUGGUUCAGCCGUGGUUGUAUUUCACGGCGCUCCCUGGUUGGUUUGGCUGUUGCUCUGUGUUGAUGCUGCAGGCCUGUGGGGGGGUGGGGGGGGGGCAGCAUUAGUCAGCACACCUGGGCCUGCUGGGCCUCCGCUCCCCACAUUCAGCGGUUCCCUCCCUGCUGACUUUACAGAUGUGUGCUACCCUUUUGUUCCCAUCGCAAGAUCGCCUUUGGUUUGUAUUUGUUUUGUUUAUUUUAAGAAUUGUUGUAAAUAAAUAACUUGUGUUGUAUAAA